UCAGCUCCAUGUGACUGACUCUGUGUUUGCAUAUGUGUCCUGCCUCUCUGCUCCAGCUGUUAAGAGGUCAGAGUUGAUCAGUGGCUGUCCAGGCCUUUCAGAGCCACUGACACACCAGCAGCACAAUGAUGAUGUCACUGACUCUACUGCUGACCAUCCUGGGGCUCCUGGUUCAGGGUUCAUCAGGAGACAUCAUCCUGACUCAGACUCCUGGAUCUCAGUCUGUUGCUCCAGGACAGACUGUCUCCAUCACAUGUAAAACCAGUUCAGGUGUUGGUAGCUAUCUCAACUGGUACCUUCAGAAACCUGCAGAAGCUCCUAAACUCCUGAUUUAUUAUGCUACAACUCUUCAGUCUGGAGUUCCAGCUCGGUUCAGUGGAAGUGGAUCUGGUUCUGAUUACACUCUGACCAUCAAUGGAGUUCAGGCUGAAGAUUCAGGAGUUUAUUACUGUCAGCAGGGUUAUGACAGACCGUUCACACAGUGAUAGAACGUCGUACAAAAACCUCCCUCAGUUUCAGGGGAACUGAUCUGACUCAACAGCUGCACUGAAACUAAAACAGUAAAAGUUUUCAGAAAUGUUCAACUCUUAAUAAUGUAGAAUUCUUCUUCUUGUGUUUUUUUUUUUUUCCAGUAGUUUUUCUUUUUUUUUUUAAGUCCUAUGACUAAAUCAUAUAGAAUGAUGAAUUUGGACUGAUCAAAGAAAACGAAUAAAGUGAAAAGAAAUUCAUGUAACAAUUAGAAAUUGUUCAUGUAGCCAAGCUUUUAAGAGUGAGUAGAAACAUUUCUUUAACUCUGCUUGAGUUUAGAGAUCCACAAUGUGAAACAUUACAAUGAUGUCAUUUCUUGUCUGUUCAAACUCUUCAGUCACAAUACAGAAAAUGGUUGAAACAAAUAUUUUUGUCAAAUGACCAAAUUAUUUGAAUUAGCCAUAAUAAUCUAUAAUAAACCAAACUCUGACUUCUUUUGCUAAAACAGCAAUUUAUAAAGGCAGCAAUAGAAGAACAUGAACAAUUUGUGACGUCAUGUUUUUUAAAACACCGAGUUACAAAAUAGUUUUAUGUGUUAAAUAUAAAAAUUUGCAAGAAUUGCUUCAAAAUCUUAAAUGACCCAACAGCAGUAAACUCCAAACUCUGGUUUGAUUAAAAAAAUAUGAUAGUUUUGACAUAUAAACACUGAAUUCAAACUUACUUUAAAAUAAAUACAAAAGCAGGUGGAAACCAGAAGUUGAUGAGUAAAUAUUUAUUAUCUGAACAGUGACCAACAUGACAAAGCAAACAUGACUCAGUGAAAAUAGAGAAUAAUCAUCAGAGAAAGAGUGAGAGCAGUGACAGAUUAAAGCCAGUAUCAGAGUCUCAGAGAGUCAGGUCAGGACUGGGAACACUGGUCUCUCCUCAGUG